rnacentral:lncRNA from 1 species
GAAGUAAGAUAAGGUGGUGUCCGGAGUAUGGGGUCUGGAGCUUGACUACCUGGAUUCAAAUCCCUGCUCAGUCAUCUCUUGGCUGUGUGACUUAAGAUGAGAAGAUACAUCUGCUUCUACUUCUAAGAGUUGGUGAUUCUCAUCCUUCUCUCUGCACUUGCCCUUGCCGUGUCCUUGGUCAGCACAGAGGAAGGACAACAGCCCAUCUCCCUCACAUCGGAAGUGGCUCCACAAGUUGGCCUUCACUGCCAUCAACCCUAACAGGUGUGGUGCUCUAUCUCCACAGUCCUCCAGAGCGCCCUCAAGUCCCUCAGGGUGUCUUUACUCCAAGAAGGGGUUCUAGACUAGACAAGCAGAGGUGUUGCAGAAAGGAAGAUACUGCAAAGGGUGUGCUCCCCAAACUGGGGAAGACAUAUGGGCAGAAGGGCCUGGGCUGGACCUCACAUCCAUCCCUCUUCCCUUGGGGUCCUUGACCACCCUUGAGAAUGGCACCUACAUGCUCUAAUUCUCCAUAAAAUCCAGAGGCAAAAUGUCCCUGCUGUAAAGACCUUGAACCCUUUUUGGGAAGGUUUUAUGAACUUAAUAUCAUGGGUUGCUCUAACCCCAACCUUUGUCCUGACAGCAUCCGCUCAGGGAGUUUGAGAUUCAGCCAGUCUGUAAAGAGCUUCAGAUCCAGGGCUUUGAGGUGGGGAGAAGUGGUCACCUUGGAGAAAGCAGGAAACUGUGGCCAGCUGGGGCAUUCUUUGCUAUAGAUUCCAAGAGACAAACUUGCUGAUCCCAGGUCAAUUCUGCCCCUGCUUCCCUGCAUCUAGAACCAUCUCUGACUCCACCUCCCAUUAACACCCCAGAACAGAUUCCCUACCCACCUCCUCAAGAAGAACAUUGCCUCCGGGGAUUUUCUAAGAGUUUUUAGGAUAAGCAGCAGUUAGAAGCUAACAAUAAGUAAAAUUUCCAGAAAUCAAGAGAAACUUGCAAUGUUCCUUGACACUUUAAAUGAUGCACUUGAAACAAGAGGCUUACAUUAGGAUCUAAAUUAGAGUUCUUGAGUGGCUUUUUGUAUUUUUUCUUUCACGUUAACCUGACUACAACUUUAUCUUCUCCAUUCACUUCCAAGAAGUCCUUAUAUAAUAAAGAGUUGAAGGCUGAAGCCCUUGCUUCCUCAAUAGGGGGCAGGCUCACCAGCUCCAUCUUGUCAGUUACCUCUUAAUGGUUGGUAGGAUGAGGGAAGCUUUCUCAAAAGACAGUUAAAAUAGUGCUUUAAGAAAUCCUCCGCCAAUAAAAAGUUGCUUCCAGAGUUAUAAAGUCAGUUUUCUUAACCUCUCAAUCUCAACUCAACUCAAAUUACAAAGUUUACAUGCCUUUGGGGAUGGCUGUAUUAAGUAAAUAGAGAGGAAUGGUCACAUUCAGUGUAAGCUAAAACACCCAAGGCUGGCAGUAGGAAAAGGAGCUACCUACCUAUCAGGUCUUUCAUAAAGCCAGUCCCUUAAGUAGAAAGAAUAAAGUUCUCUCAAGACUUACCCUAUGGACUGCCUUUCACAGCUGGUUCAUAUUUAUAAGCCAAUUUGUCUGGAAGUAAAUCUCUUUAACACACCCAACUGACUCCAAGAGGUGUGUCCCAUGGGAACCAAUCUUAAAUAACCGUCUCAAGAAAAGUUUUAGCAGCAAUAUUGUCAGUCCUGGAAUUUCCACCUUUGGGGGGAAAAAAAUCAACAAUAGAAUGCUUGGAAAUACAGAAUACACAGAGUUUAGCAAACUGCCAAAUUAAAUUCAGACACACACACACAAAUCUGCUAAUACCUAGUUAAAGAGUUGGCAUGGGAAGAAACAGACUUCUCAUUCAAGCCUGAAGCUCGGUAAUGGGUCAUUUGACCUGAAAUAACUUGGGCGGAAGUUGGCCUUAUUGUCUUCCACAAUCUCUUCCCACGCAGUCAAAAAAGGGGAUGCAAUCUUAAGAUUUUUUCUUCCUCAUUCUCUCCCGCCCUUUCUCCUCUCCCUCCCUCCCUUUUAUUUUCUCUCUCUCCUUCCUUCCUUCUUUUCUUUCUCUUUCAAUCUUUGGGCAUCAAAAAGGGUAUCCCAGAAAACUUCAAAUGAAGUUUUAGAAGAGGACCGUGUGUUGGUUUCAGUUGUUUUUAGGGUGGGGGCUUGAACAACCUCAUCUCAAAAACGGAGAUUUUUUUUAUUACCUCUUUUGGUUGAGAUAUAAUUAAUAUAUAAUAAAGCUAUCUAAUUUACUGAAUUGGUCUGAUUCACAAGUUAAAUAAGGUUAAAUCAAAGAAAACAUGUAUAAGUCCCUCUAGACAGUGUCCAGGGUUGACUGGAUUAUAAACAGACAUAACCAUUGAGGUCACUUUUUAAUUUAAAAACCCUCAAUGGCUCCUGACUUCCUACAGAACAGUCUAAAAAUCUAAGGCUCAAAAAUGUCAGGCUCUCCUUUCUAGUGCUACCUGCUGCCCCCAUCUCUUAUACAUACCAUUUGUCAGAUGCAACCAGAUAAUAGAAAUUUCCAGUCUCUCAGCUUCCUCCUGCUGCCCCAGGUCUGCUUAUCAAGGCCCUGCCCAUCCUUCAAAGUCAGAAGUCAUCUCCUCCAUGGAGUCCUCCAGGUCCUUGAAAAUCAGUUAUUUGUGAAGGCAUUUAUGGUAAACUUUGGCCGACUGGAAUAUUCAGUUAACCAGAACACUUGCAUAAUGUGAAGCUGUAAACACUUAGAUUGACCAGCUACUCUAUAAAAAGAGUCCAUACUGUUGCUAAGUUACAAUUAGACCUUAUGUCAGGACCCUAGAUGAUUAAGCAUUUUCUCCAUGGCAUGUGCUUGGAAAAGGAUGCUUUAUGCAAGAAUGUCACGGAUGGAUAAAAGUUACCAAGACUUGCUAUAUAGCACAAGGAACUCUACCCAAUAUUCUGUGAGAACCUAUAUGGGAAAAGAAUAUGAAAAAGAAUGGAUAUGUUGGAGUCCCUGUUGUGGCUCAGCAGUAACGAACCUGACUAGGAUCCACGAGGAUGCAGGUUCAAUCCCUGGCCUCACUCAGUGGGUUAAGGAUCCGGCAUAGCUCUGAGCUGUGGUGUAGGUCGCAGAUGUGGCUCGGAUCCUGAGUGGCCCUAAAAAACAACAACAAAAAAUGGAUAUGUGUAUGUGUAUAACUGAAUCACUUUGUUGUACAGCAGAAAUUAAUACAACAUUGUAAAUCAACGACACUUCAAUAAAACUUUU